rnacentral:rRNA from 1 species
UACGUAGGGACCAAGCGUUGUUCGGAUUUACUGGGCGUAAAGGGCGCGUAGGCGGCCUACUAAGUCAGACGUGAAAUCCCCCGGCUUAACCUGGGAACUGCGUCUGAUACUGGAAGGCUUGAGGAUGGGAGAGGGAUGUAGAAUUCCAGGUGUAGCGGUGAAAUGCGUAGAUAUCUGGAGGAAUACCGGUGGCGAAGGCGGCAUCCUGGACCAUUACUGACGCUGAGGCGCGAAAGCUAGGGGAGCAAACGGG